rnacentral:lncRNA from 1 species
CACUGGCCUGGUCCUGGUCCAGACUUACAGGAGCUGAUCCUCUGUAAGACUUACAUACAGCUAACUAAUCAUCCGGCAUCAUGGCAGCUGGCCUGGAGCCUUCUCUUCACCUAUGCCUACCCAUCCUAUACUAUUUUUCUAUGUGAAAACCCUCAAGAGUCUUCUAACACUGGUUUUUCUGAACAUCAAAAAAAAAUCUUGUCUCCAGGAAGAUACAUAAAUACUUGGAUUUUUGAUUGGGAACCCAGAGACAGGAAAUUGGAAAUCUUCAUUUCUCUACGUGUCAAUGGAUAUCAGCCAUGCUGACUAAAAAGCUCCUCACUUUAUGUAC